GAUGAACGCUAGCUACAGGCUUAACACAUGCAAGUCGAGGGGAAACGACAUCGAAAGCUUGCUUUUGAUGGGCGUCGACCGGCGCACGGGUGAGUAACGCGUAUCCAACCUGCCCACCACUGGGGGAUAACCUUGCGAAAGUAAGACUAAUACCCAAUGAUAUCUCUAGAAGACAUCUGAAAGGGAUUAAAGAUUUAUCGGUGAUGGAUGGGGAUGCGUCUGAUUAGCUUGUUGGCGGGGUAACGGCCCACCAAGGCGACGAUCAGUAGGGGUUCUGAGAGGAAGGUCCCCCACAUUGGAACUGAGACACGGUCCAAACUCCUACGGGAGGCAGCAGUGAGGAACAUUGGUCAAUGGACGAGAGUCUGAACCAGCCAAGUAGCGUGCAGGAUGACGGCCCUAUGGGUUGUAAACUGCUUUUAUAAGGGAAUAAAGUGAGUCUCGUGAGACUUUUUGCAUGUACCUUAUGAAUAAGGACCGGCUAGUUCCGUGCCAGCCGCCGCGGUAA
rnacentral:rRNA from 1 species